GAUGAACGCUAGCGACAGGCCUAACACAUGCAAGUCGAGGGGUAGCAGUGAAGUAGCAAUACUUUAGCUGACGACCGGCGCACGGGUGAGUAACACGUAUGCAACCUACCUUCUACAGGGGGAUAGCCCGGAGAAAUUCGGAUUAAUACGCCAUAAUGCAGGGAUACCGCAUGGUAAUAUUUGCUAAAGAUUUAUUGGUAGAAGAUGGGCAUGCGUUCCAUUAGCUGGUUGGUGAGGUAACGGCUCACCAAGGCAACGAUGGAUAGGGGAACUGAGAGGGUUAUCCCCCACACUGGAACUGAGACACGGUCCAGACUCCUACGGGAGGCAGCAGUGAGGAAUAUUGGUCAAUGGACGAGAGUCUGAACCAGCCAAGUCGCGUGAAGGAAGACGGUUCUAUGAAUUGUAAACUUCUUUUGUGCAGGAAUAAAGUGGGUUACGUGUAACCUUUUGUAUGUACUGUACGAAUAAGGAUCGGCUAACUCCGUGCCAGCAGCCGCCGUAACAC
rnacentral:rRNA from 1 species